rnacentral:rRNA from 1 species
GACGUAGGGUGCAAGCGUUGUCCGGAAUUAUUGGGCGUAAAGAGCUCGUAGGCGGCCUGUCGCGUCGGAUGUGAAAAUCCAAGGCUCAACCUUGGACCUGCAUUCGAUACGGGCAGGCUAGAGUUCGGUAGGGGAGACUGGAAUUCCUGGUGUAGCGGUGAAAUGCGCAGAUAUCAGGAGGAACACCGGUGGCGAAGGCGGGUCUCUGGGCCGAUACUGACGCUGAGGAGCGAAAGCGUGGGGAGCGAACAGG